UCCCUGGUAGUCCAGUGGUUAGGACCCAGCACUUUUCCUGCGGUGGCCCCGGGUUCAAUCCCUGGUCAGGGAA